rnacentral:rRNA from 1 species
UACGAAGGGGGCUAGCGUUGCUCGGAAUCACUGGGCGUAAAGCGCACGUAGGCGGAUCUUUAAGUCAGGGGUGAAAUCCCAAGGCUCAACCUUGGAACUGCCUUUGAUACUGGGGAUCUCGAGUCCGGAAGAGGUGAGUGGAACUGCGAGUGUAGAGGUGAAAUUCGUAGAUAUUCGGAAGAACACCAGUGGCGAAGGCGACAUACUGGUCCAUUACUGACGCUGAGGCUCGAAAGCGUGGGGAGCAAACAGG